UGAGAAUUUGGGAAGUAAAUAACUGCUAAGUUAAAAAGCAGUAAUUUACUGAAUUUUGUUGACUUGUCUAGAACAUCUUUUAGAUGGACACUAUGUAGGGCAAAAAGAGUUAAGCUGGCCGUUUUCUAUUUUUUUUUAGGAAGAUUAGCCCUGAGCUAACAUCUGCUGCCAAUCCUCCUCUUUUUGCUGAGGAAGGCUGGCCCUGAGCUAACAUCUGUGCCCAUCUUCCUCUACUUUACAUGUGGGAUGCCUACCACAGCAUGGCUUGUCAAGCGAUGCCAUGUCCGCACCCGGGAUCUGAACUGGCGAACCCCAGACUGCUGAAGCAGAAUGUGUGAACUUAACUGCUGCGCCACUGGGUCAGCCCCUAAGCUGGCUUUUAGAAAAAAUCUAGAGCCCCUGCAUGCCCUGCUCAGGCCUCGCAUUUCGGGAAUGCCUUGGAGAUGGAGGUAGACGCAUGAUUAGGAAUUGAGGAAUUGAUCAUGGAAACUCAGCAGGCCUGAGCUCUACUUGGAGCGUUCCUCGGCUGAAUAGCAGAUAAAAUUUACUGGAUUUCCACGUCAGAACCUUUGCGAUUGCACUCUGUACUCCACUUUGAUGGAUUUAAAACUGGUCAUUAUGUUACAGGGCAAGUCGUAGCAGGAAUAAAAGCAGGUCGUUUCAAUCAGCCAUUUUAAUCAGGAGACGACGUUACUCUGUUAUUAAAGCUUGCCAUAUGCCAUAGAAAGGCGUAGAAACAUACUCUUGACAUUUAGGGCAGAUUGAAAAAAAAAAAAUGUUUGAUUUUGUAGAAAGGCAGAAAGGAAGUAAUCCGAUAGUAUAUAUAUAUUUAAAUAUUUCUCUGUCUCAGUAAGCAAGGUGGUUUUUGUAAGCCUCCUUUGGGACUGUGUCUCUCCUUUCCCUUAAAACCCGCAAGCAAGUUAAAAAGCAAAAAAACCCUCUGCUCUGUCCUUUUGGUGGUUCUGCUCUGGGAGCCGCGAUGCUCCCGGGCUGCCGAGCACGUCGAGAGCGCCCCCUAGGCGUUGGCACAGGACACAGCAGGGGGAAGCGGCGACCGAUCAAUAGCCGGCUGCGUGUGUCCCCGUCCAAAUCCACACACAGUGCCGGGGCGGCAGCCCACAAAGUGCCUGCUCUCUGUGCUCCUGUCUGAGGGUGAACUGGCAAGCGUGUCCACUUGCUUCAGAAGUUUCAGAUCGCGGCAGCUCUGGGUGCCUUUCUUUGUGUGCUUAUGACAAAAAUGGAG
ensembl:lncRNA